rnacentral:rRNA from 1 species
ACAGAGGGUGCAAGCGUUAAUCGGAAUUACUGGGCGUAAAGCGCGCGUAGGCGGUUUGAUAAGUCGGAUGUGAAAGCCCUAGGCUCAACCUGGGAACUGCAUUCGAUACUGUCUGACUAGAGUAUGGUAGAGGGAAGUGGAAUUCCAGGUGUAGCGGUGAAAUGCGUAGAUAUCUGGAGGAACAUCAGUGGCGAAGGCGACUUCCUGGACCAAUACUGACGCUGAGGUGCGAAAGCGUGGGGAGCAAACAGG